GACGUGUGCUCUUUCGGUGAUUGCCGAUUGUUCUGCCUGUUUCGCUAAACUGAAGAAUUCAUUGCUGUCAACCGCGACUUUAUAAAAAAAUCGAAUUCGUGAGUUGAGCCAUAGUUGGAAAGGUGUUGCGAAUUUGACGAGACGUUUGAGCAUUUGUAUUGGCUGUAAAUGUCAUGACCUCCAUUGUGCAAUCGAUUGAUUCAUGCCAAAAAAUGCAUGACUGCUAAAAGUUAUGAUGAAGUUCACGUAACUAUUAGCUACAAUUUCCGACAUGAAAUUGUGUUUAAAAAUAGAAAGCACUGAUGGAUCAUUCAAAAAAGAGCUAUAUAAAUUAUAGCUGGUAUCAAAGAAGAUUACAUUAGUAGCUUACAUUUGAUUCAUGUCGACUGUUUAUUAGCUGCGUCACGCAUCACAAAGUCACUGCUUGAAUUUCCGUUCAUUUAUCAGUCAGUAUUUUAAUCAAGAAGUGGGGAGGUAACAAAGACUUUUCGUCUUAAGUGGUCUCAGCACUUUGCCUUUUGAAAUAUAUUGCUUGCCAUCGAUCGAUACAUCAAACCAAACUAGAAUCCUUUUCUCGUAGUCACCUAUCUUAGAACGUCCAGAUGGUAAUCUGUCCCCGGGAUGGCCAUCUUUCUUCGUUGAUGAACAAAAAGCUAGCAGGAAAACCGAAAAGCAACGAAAUGAUUGGCCGAUUCGUGCGGGUUUCUAUUAUUCCCCUCCACACAUUUACCUGGUUUGGUUUCGACGGAAAAUGGCUUCCAGUUCCCCCUGUUGUCACAUUGUUGGUUUAUCAGAGUUUCCAACCGAAAUCUAAGCAGAUGCUAGACGUCAAGUCUGUAUUUUAACGAUCCCCGGUGACUUACACCACAUGCAUUCAUGGCUUAAGCUUGAUUGUAUCAGGUGCAGAUGGUUAAAUCAUUUGAAUGCCACUCUCCAGCGUGCACGUAAAGUAGAUGGCACGUCUCAAUAGACCCAUUUUUUCCCCUUCUUUUACGUGCAUGUCCAGCAGCAACUUCAACCAUCUGCACAGUGAGACGACCACCUGCUUUUAAUCUCUCCCGUAUCUAUUCCCGCAUUCAAACUUUUUUUUUUUACCACAAAAUAAAACGAUGCUUUUGUGACUGUUGAACGAAAUAACGUGAAAUGAUAGCGGGCGCCAUUAUUUCAUAGUUUAACCCCUUCCCAGAAGAUCCUGUUAAAGUAUAUAUUUUUUCCAGUUCCAUCCAACAAUUUCACGUAUCUCAUAAUCUUUAAGAACUCGGGAAUUCAAAGUUGCGUCUGCGUGAGGUCAACUGUGACGGCAGCCGUAAAAUAAACUUUAUCAUUGCUCAUUUA
rnacentral:lncRNA from 1 species